UUUGACCAUUAUUUCCAACUUUUUGAUACACUUUCAAAGAGUCGGAUUGUUUGGGCAUGCAGUCCAAAAUGGGUGGUAAAUUUCAUCUAAAGCUAAAUACUGGCGAGAGACCGAUAGCGAACAAGUACCGUGAGGGAAAGAUGAAAAGAACUUUGAAAAGAGAGUUAAACAGUACGUGAAAUUGUCAAAAGGGAAGCGUUUGACACCAGUGUUGUUUUU
rnacentral:rRNA from 1 species